rnacentral:rRNA from 1 species
UGGGGAAUUUUGGACAAUGGGGGAAACCCUGAUCCAGCCAUCCCGCGUGUGCGAUGAAGGCCUUCGGGUUGUAAAGCACUUUUGGCAGGAAAGAAACGUCGCGGGUUAAUACCCCGCGAAACUGACGGUACCUGCAGAAUAAGCACCGGCUAACUACGUGCCAGCAGCCGCGGUAAUACGUAGGGUGCAAGCGUUAAAUCGGAAUUACUGGGCGUAAAGCGUGCGCAGGCGGUUCGGAAAAGAAAAGAUGUGAAAUCCCAGAGCUUAACUUUGGAAACUGCAUUUUUAAACUACCGGGCUAGAGUGUGUCAGAGGGAGGUGGAAUUCCGCGUGUAGCAGUGAAAAUGCGUAGAUAUGCGGAGGAACACCGAUGGCGAAGGCAGCCUCCUGGGAUAAACACUGACGCUCAUGCACGAAAAGCGUGGGGAGCAAAACAGGAUUAGAUACCCUGGUAGUCC